rnacentral:rRNA from 1 species
UACGGAGGGUGCAAGCGUUAUCCGGAUUCACUGGGUUUAAAGGGUGCGUAGGAGGGCAGGUAAGUCAGUGGUGAAAUCCCCGAGCUUAACUUGGGAACUGCCGUUGAUACUAUCUGUCUUGAAUAUCGUGGAGGUGAGCGGAAUAUGUCAUGUAGCGGUGAAAUGCUUAGAUAUGACAUAGAACACCAAUUGCGAAGGCAGCUCGCUACACGAAUAUUGACUCUGAGGCACGAAAGCGUGGGGAGCAAACAGG